AUGUAGGUGCGGUCGUAGACGUCUGUGGGAGUGGCCGAUAUACGAAUUUUGGAUGCGACUCCACAGUUCGGUGACUUUCGUAAUAUCAUCAAUCGCUCGAUUAUAUCGUCAAGACCAGACAUUGUACUACAAUGCGGUGCUCUGAAGCAUGCGCAAAACAAGUGCACCACAAGCACGAUGACAUACUAUUUAUGAAGAGCCCUCUG